GAUGAACGCUGGCGGCGGGCCUAAUACAUGCAAGUCGAACGCAAGGGUUAUACCGUAGUUUUCUACGCCAUGGACUGUGACUUACGAACGGUUGAGUAACCCGUAGGUAACCUGCCUGGUAGUGGAGGGUAACUAUAGUAACCGAUAGCUAAUAUCGCAUCAUCUUGAUUAUUGCAUGAUUCUUGAUUGCAAGAUCGUAUUGCAUCACUACUAGAUGGUUCUGCGUUUUAUUAGCUAGUAGGUGAGGUAACGGCCCACCUAGGCCAAGAUACAUAGCCGACCGGGGAGGGAGAUCGGCCACACCGGGACUGGGACACGGCCCAGGACCCUACGGGUGGGAGCAGUAGGGGAUCUUAGGAAAUGGCCGAAAGUCUGACCGAGCAACGCCGCGGGAGUGAAGAAGGUUAUCGGAUCGUAAAGCUCUGUUUUAAGGGAAGAACGGGUGUGAGAGUGGAAAGGUGACACUCUGACGGUACCUUACCAAAAAGGGACGGCUAACUCCGUG
rnacentral:rRNA from 1 species